CGAUGUUUCGUUCAAAUUUCUGCCCUAUCAACUGGCGAUGGUAAGGUAGUGGCUUAACAUUGUUGUAACGGGUGACGGAGAAUUAGGGUUCGAUUCAGGAGAGGGAGCCUGAGAAAUGGCUACCACAUCUAUUGAAGGCAGAAGGCACGAAAAUUAACCAAUCCCGACUCGGGGAGGUAGUGACAAGAAAUAACCUUACGGGGCCUUUAUAGGUCUCGCAAUUGGAAUGAGUACAAAUUUAAAUCCUUUAACGAGGAUCAAUUGGAGGGCAAGUCUGGUGCCAGCAGCCGCGGUAAUUCUAGCUCCAAUAGCGUAUAUUAAAGUUGUUGCAGUUAAAAAGCUCGUAGUUGGAUUUCGGAAUGGGCCAGUUGGUCCGCCCUCACGGUGUGCUACUUGCUUGUCCGUUCUUCUUCGCAAAGACUGCGUGUGCUCUUCAGUGAGUGUGCGUAGGAUUUGUGACGUUUACUUUGAAAAAAUUAGAAAAAUUAGUGCUCAAAGCAGGCGUUGUGCUUGAAUACAUGAGAAUGGAAUAAUGGAAUAUGACUUUGGUCUUAUUUUGUUGGUUUCUAAGACCGAAGUAAUGAUUGAGAGGGACAGUUGGGGGCAUUCGUAUUUCGUUGUCAGAGGUGAAAUUCUUGGAUUUACGAAAGACGAACAACUGCGAAAGCAUUUGCCAAGAAUGUUUUCAUUAAUCAAGAACGAAAGUUAGAGGAUCGAAGACGAUCAGAUACCAUCCUAGUUCUAACCAUAAACGAUGUCGAAUAGGGAUCAGCGGGCAUUAUAUACGACCUGGUUGGCCCCUUACGGGAAACCAAAGUCUUGGGAUUCCGGGGGAAGUAUAGUUGCAAAGUCGAAAAUUGCGACUGUAAGGAAACGAGAGGCAUACCAGGAUAUUCUUAAAAAGUUGAAGGCUGAGGAUGCGACGACCCCAGGCGAUGAGCGUAAUGAACUACCACUGGGUAGCAACAGCGAUGAUACGCCCAACCUCGAAAAAGCGAAAGAAAAGCUUGACGCAUGGGUUAAAGCAUCAGAACAGUCUAACAACCCGGAAACCUGCCUUGUAAGGCAUUACGUACUGUCCUCAGGAAAAGGAAUUGACAACUGGCAAGCCACAAAAGCGUCCUUUUUCCCGCGCCAGUUCGCAGAAAGAGAAUAUACCGAUUUAGAAGGGUCUGCUAUCGAGGAUGCAGUCAUGCGCAAAGGGGGCUUAAAUCGACGGCAACGAAGAUUAAAAGCCACCCAAUGCUGAUUUGAAAUGAACAAGUCGGAAACACUAAAACGUAUUUUAGAUGGGACGUUUGACUUUGA
rnacentral:rRNA from 1 species